rnacentral:rRNA from 1 species
CCUACGGGAGGCAGCAGUGGGGAAUAUUGCACAAUGGGCGAAACCCUGAUGCAGCAACGCCGCGUGAGUGAAGAAGUAUUUCGGUAUGUAAAGCUCUAUCAGCCGGGAAGAACAAAGACGGUACCUGACUAUUAAGCCCCGGCUAACUACGUGCCAGCAGCCGCGGUAAUACGUAGGAGGCAAGCGUUAUCCGGAUUUACUUGGUGUAAAGGGACCGUAGGUGGUUGUUCAAGUCAGAAGGGAAAGCCCGUGGCUCAACCGCGGAAUUGCAUUGGAAACUGUAUAACUUGAGUACUGGAGAGGCAGGCGGAAUUCGUAGUGUAGCGGUGAAAUGCGUAGAUAUGAGGAAGAACACCAGUGGCGAAGGCAGCCUGCUGGACAGAAACUGACGUUGAGGCUCGAAAGCGUGGGGAGCAAACAGGAUUAGAUACCCCGGUAGUC